rnacentral:rRNA from 1 species
GGAACUGCCUGAUGGAGGGGGAUAACUACUGGAAACGGUAGCUAAUACCGCAUAACGUCGCAAGACCAAAGAGGGGACCUUCGGGCCUCUUGCCAUCGGAUGUGCCCAGAUGGGAUUAGCUAGUAGGUGGGGUAACGGCUCACCUAGGCGACGAUCCCUAGCUGGUCUGAGAGGAUGACCAGCCACACUGGAACUGAGACACGGUCCAG